rnacentral:tRNA from 1 species
GGGCGUAUAGCUCAGUUGGUUAGAGCGCGUCACUGAUAAUGACGAGGUCCAUGGUUCAAAUCCAUGUACGCCCA